CCCUUAGAUGUUCUGGGCCGCACGCGCGCUACACUGAUGCAUUCAACGAGCCUAUCCUUGACCGACAGGUCCGGGUAAUCUUUGAAUCUGCAUCGUGACGGGGAUAGAUUAUUGCAAUUAUUAAUCUUCAACGAGGAAUGCCUAGUAGGCGCAAGUCAUCAGCUUGCGUCGAUUACGUCCCUGCCCUUUGUACACACCGCCCGUCGCUACUACAGAGUGCCCGUGUCCAAGAAACGGUCGGACCUGUGCGGCCUCUCCGGGCGACCGGAGGGCCGUUACGGGGAAGACCCUUUAUUUGACGCGGGUCGAUGAAGUAAAAGUCGUAACA
rnacentral:rRNA from 1 species